rnacentral:sRNA from 1 species
UGAUAUUGCUCGGUAGACCGAUGGUCCAG